rnacentral:rRNA from 1 species
GCCGUGCUCAGCGUUGGACCUUGUUUGCCGCCUCUCCCUUGAGCGCUUGGUCCUGGGGGUUCGGAAUUUCUACUCUAUUUGGAAAUGUGAGAGCUCUCGAACCUGCCACUUGGUAGGUAUACCGUUGGUUGUGGGAGGGGAGAGCGAGGGAGGAGCGACGAGGCCGGGUCGUGGGACCAGAUGCCGAGCCCUGGAGAGAGGCGGAGAGGGAGAGGGAGAGAGUGGUGUUAGUUGGGCGGCUGCUGGGACUCCCGGCGGCUCGAGGCCAGCCGAGAGUGGGCCGGAAGAGCGCGCCAUUGGCACGGUUCUUCUAGGGGCAGGGCUGGUGACCGCUCGGGCGGCGGCCGUAGGCCCAGUGGCUGGCCCCGGAGCGGAUGGUGGAGCUCCCCCGCGGCAAACUCAAGGUCAUGUCGAUGUGCCUCCGGGGUGCUCGUGCGGGGCAGCGCGAGGCCCUCCGAGGUAAGGACGGCAAGCCAGGGCUCCGGUGCGGCGCGGGCACCUGGCCUUCCUUCGGAGAGGGGUUCUCGGCGUUCCUCGACGGACUCAAGCUGAGAAAGCACGAUGGCGGCGUACCGUUCUUUCCCCACUUCGGGCACGUCAGCGGUCCCGGUAAGGAGCGUCCCUACCUCGGUUCCAUGGUUCGCCGCAGGGCCCUCCUCCAGGAGCCCCUUGGCGAGUGGUCUCUGCUCCAGCGGCACGAGCAGUUCCCUUUGGAGUUCCGCUUUGCCGUCGAGUUAUACCCGUCCCUACCAAAUUGUGUGUUAUACAACCUCUUGUAAGUACGUGUGACCUUCUCCUUCUCUCAAACGUUCUAUUUUACGUUUCCACAUACAUGUCAACUGUACCUAUUACAGACGGUUGUUGAGCUCCUUUUUCAACCUCCUUUUCAUUAUGUGGCAGUUCCCCCACAAUAUAAAGAGAAAGCACCGUCUUUGAUAUUAAUGUCCUGAGCGGGUCAAAAAGGUGAAUACGAGACCUCUGGACGUCGUGGCUACAUGGGAGCGGACCAGUUUUGCCACGGCCUACCGAAUUGAAGUCUGCUCCGUUGUGUUUACGCGUUCUCUCCCACAGUUAAUCGUGGUUAAACGUUUGAACCUUUUUUACCACAAAUACGAUUGGAACACUUCCUUCAAUCUCUUCGUAAACUUCGUACACUAGAACAGGCUCAACUAACGAGUUCAGAUUUGUUUUCACUAACGUCUUUUUAACCUCGAUUUGACUUCCAAACUAAUUAGACAACAUAACACAACAAUAUACCAACAAAACAAGUUUCGUACUCAUUGACAUGGAACGUCCUAGAUCAAGGUACAUAGAACGACAGAAAACUCAAACUUGUAUAUGACUACACCUCUCCUUUACUAACCUCUAAGGUUAGUAGAGAAGGAAACGGUUCACUAGUUGUAGGCAAGUUACCACUUCUUUUUAACUUAUUUUACCUUUUACUAAGUCGUUGACAAGGUUGAAGAUAGCUCCACCAGUUAUUACGUCGUAGACAAAUGUUGUCGUAGAACUCACUUGCACUUGCAAAAGACCUUCUAGGGAACUUAGGAUCAGAACGAUUACUAUACCACGAUUCAAGAGGUGAAUGUCAGGGACCUAACACAUUAAGAUUCUCACAUCGACAUUGACUUUAGAGUCAACAACCAGGUAAUGUUGAAAGAUGAAGUCUAUGUCACUAAGGUAGAGAAUGCAGUGUCAAAAUACCGGUUCCAUAGGAUAGUCCGUUGUCACUUUUACCUCUAGGUCAAGUUUCCAGAGGACAACUGAGACCCUUCAGACUUGUUAUAGGUCUACACCAUCUUUGAAGGUAAACAGGCUGCUCGUCCUUACUACACCAGUCGUUUAAUCUCUGAUGCUCUUUUUAAUCAUUUCUAAACUUACCUGUACUACCACAUUUCUCAAUAAGUUUAUAUAACAGGACACACCUCCCUUACAAUGAAGAAAAUCUUGUCCGGUGUUAUUGACCUUCCCGUUUACAGAACCUACUUUUACUCAAACAACUACGACUACACUAAAUAGUUUUCAGACAACGGAAACGUUUCUGUCGAGGUGCUCCAGGUGAAAAGUUUUCACGUGCUUCCUUCAGGCCGGAACCCUUUUCGUACGGUCUAUUCCCGCAUUCUCAUUUCUUCGUAAGAUAUCUUGUACUUCUUGGAUCACUACAACUUUCCUUUAUACUACAACUGUCUGCUAACCCUUUCGUCUCUUUACUAGAACGUGUUCUCAAAGAUAGCCUACACCAAGGUGCUCCAUGUGACUCUCACCUACUUGAUCGCUUCAAUGAACGAAUCUAUACCGACGAGAAAUGAGAAUGCGACCUCCCUCCUCCUUCUACUUGGUCGUCGGAACCUAACGCAACCUAAAGUUACCGUUUUAGAUUCCUUUGACUUGAACGGGGAAUUAAAAAUCUGAGUUCUUAACAAAUCUUCAUGAGUCAGUUAACGCAACCUAAAACAACCUAACGCAACCUAAAAUUUCCGUUUUAGGUUCCUUUGACUAAAAACAUAAGAAGUGACCGCUGUAAAUCCGCCUCCCACACUACAACCACUGUUAUUUUAAUGGGAACAAGAGGAGGGUGACACUGCCACGGAAUAGCCCAUUUCCAUACCUCGGUCUCUACAGGUGCAUAAACUAGAAUGCCUUAAAGCCAAAAACUAGAACAUCUACUAAGGUACGUCUAAACUAGUCAAUAACAAUCACAAACCACGAUAACAAGCAAACUAGAGAAAACCGAAGCCACGUGAAGAGACUGUAAAACCACUUCUUAAAACAAUCGCGGUUAAGAGCGAGUUAACAUAAAGUACCGCUGUAACGGUCGUUGAGCUCGAUGUUAAGCUUUACCUCCUCCUUCCCCUAGCUGUUGAGCAGGUGGGAUGUGCGUGCUCGACACGGAGCCGAAGGUCGGCAAGACAGGG